CUCAUUUAAGGGUUGGCAGUGGAAGCAAAGGUAUCUUGCUGGAGAUGCUUGUAUACCUGAGGCCUUCUCAAGCCUUGUUUCCUCAAAUGCAUGUGCACAUGUAAAAUGCAUGUAUAUCACUCCCGCCUGUCUUCUCAUGUAUUCUGAAGCUAUCAGCCAAUUUUAACUAAAUUUGAUGCUAAAACAGCAGUUCUAAGGACACCAGAGGUUCUAUGGAUAUGGUCAGGCAAGGAUUUCUUGGUCUUGCUCCUUAUGAAGAUACUCCUGACUUCCCCUUUUCAAGAAAUUCAUUGCUUUCCCAAAUGAAGAUGGGACUUCUCUGACUAGGGAGAGGAAGAAUGCUAAAAGCCUUAUGAAGACAGUCUUGGGGAUGCAUUUGUGACAGGAAACAGUGCAUGUGUACAGGCUGGUAUAGACCAGCAACAGAUUGAGUCUAGUUAACUUGGAUUUUUGAAAUUAAGGUAAAACCUCAAUGAUUUAUUUUUGGAGGCAUGCCACGCUUGGACCUGAUUCUGACUGGGAAUUUAAACCCAAACCAUCCUUAUCCUCUGAGCUUCCCAGACUCAUUUUCAUCAGUGUGAUCCUUACGUGAUGGGUCUUGCAGAUAGCAUAUGCCAAGUGAGACAGAUCUGAUUCUGUGAAGAAUAACUCGGGUGUGCGAAGUUGGAGUGGGAGAACUAUAGUGUUCCUUCAUUCUUUGCAAGACGGUGACUGUGAAGAGCAGAAUCACUGCUUUCAGUUUGGGCUUGUUCUCCACCAGAUGGUGCUCUUCCCCUUGUCCUGAGGUUGUUUCCGUUCAAUCUCCGUCAAUUAAUACCUCGGUGUUGCCCCUCUGCACUUCUUUGCCUGUCUCUACCAGCACUGCUGUGCUCCUGUGUGCGCUGUGCUGGGUGGACUGCCUUUAGCUCUGCUUUUGCAGUCCGACCUGCAGCUGUGCAUGAGUGCCUUACAGGAAGUUUGGAGGCUGGAAUUUCUUCAAAACCUUAUGCUUCAUUGUGAAACUGCAAUAUUGCAACUGAGUCGAUCAUGUUGCGUCAAUACCUCCCAAUCCUUUGUAACUGCCAUAUGCGCUCACCUGUACAGCACUGCCUGAGACAAGCAAACUGAGAAAUGAAGUGCAUUUCCACACACCUGCACGACUGUUAGAGGUCACAAUGAAUGAAUCAAGCAU